GUAAAUACUCUGUUUUAUGUGUCUCACGCUUCACAUACCAACCUAGGUACAUGUUUAAGAGAAUAUGGAAGACCGAAGAAAAUAUACCUCAAGCCGUUUCACAUUCAUCAUCAAUUUCUCUUCUACCAAUCUCAUUCAUCUCAUCUUCUAUGUCACACCUUCAAUUUUUUAGGUAACCAAUUAAAGUUUUUGUUGAUAUCUCUCUCUCUAAUCCCGGUUCAAGAUAAAAAACAACAACAACAACAGAACACUCUAAUCAAAUAUGUUCAGAUCUGUCACUCAUUCUUGAUCUUCAAACGCGUCGAUUCAAAAAUCAAGAGAAAAGAAGAAACGAACCCUAAACCCAUCAAAUCCCAUACCCAUAUUUGA